GUCAGCCUGGAUAGCUCAGUUGGUUAGAGCAUGGUGCUUAUAAUGCCAAGGUUGCAGGUUGGAUCAUCCGUAUGCGACA